GGUCAAGCUAACAAGAGCGUACGGUGGAUGCCUGGGCGCUAAGGGCCGAAGAAGGACGUGGUAAGCUGCGAAAAGCUACGGUGAGCCGCAAGCAGGCAUAGACCCGUAGAUCUCCGAAUGGGGCAACCCGUUACCUGUAACGAGGUAACAUCUUAUGCUGAACACAUAGGCAUAAGAAGGGCACCCGGUGAACUGAAACAUCUAAGUAGCCGGAGGAACAGAAAUCAACCGAGAACCCCCAAGUAGCGGCGAGCGAACCGGGGCCAGCCUAAACCUAUUUUGCGUGCAAAAUAGGGGUUGCGGGACUCUCGAAAGCGGACUAAUAGCCUUAGCCGAACCCGCCAGGAACGGCGGGCCACAGAAGGUAACAGCCCUGUAGGCGAAAAGGCAACGAGUUUAGAGAGCAUCCCAAGUACCGCGGGACACGUGAAACCCCGUGGGAAUCAGGGAGGACCACCUUCCAAGGCUAAAUACCCUUAGCGACCGAUAGCGCACAAGUACCGUGAGGGAAAGGUGAAAAGCACCCCGGGAGGGGAGUGAAACAGAACCUGAAACCGUACGCUUACAACCAGUCAGAGCACAAUAAACGUGUGAUGGCGUACUUUUUGUAGAACGGACCGGCGAGUUACAUUUAGCGUGCCAGGUUAAGGCUGACCAAGGCCGUCAACCGCAGCGAAAGCAAGUCUAAAAAGGGCGCACGUAGUACGCUGAAGUAGACCCGAAACCGGGUGAUCUACCCAUGUCCAGAGUGAAGCGGAAGUAACAUUUCGUGGAGGCUCGAACCAACCGUCGUUGAAAAGGCGGUGGAUGAGGUGUGGGUAGGGGUGAAAUGCCAAUCGAACCCGGAGAUAGCUGGUUCUCCCCGAAAUAGCUUUAGGGCUAGCCUUGUACAAAAUACCCGGAGGUAGAGCACUGAAUGGGCUAGGGGCCUUCACCGGUUACCGAACUCAAUCAAACUGCGAAUGCCGGGCUAUUAAAGUACAGGAGUCAGACUGCGGGUGCUAAGAUUCGUAGUCGAGAGGGAAACAGCCCAGACCGCCAGUUAAGGUCCCUAAAUCGUGCUAAGUGGCAAAGGAUGUGAGGUUGCCCGGACAACCAGGAUGUUGGCUUAGAAGCAGCCACCAUUUAAAGAGUGCGUAAUAGCUCACUGGUCAAGUGACCUUGCGCCGAAAAUGUAACGGGGCUCAAGCACGAUACCGAAACUGCGGCAGACUGUGAAAUUAUCAAUACACCCAGUAAACAGCGCAAAACAUUUUUGCCGUAAAUAUCAUUAAAGAACAAAAGAAAUUUACGGCCAAAUGCCCCAAGGGCUAAAGCGCGUAAACAAGGGUCUGUUGAUAAUUUCACAGACUGGGUAGGGGAGCGUUCCCAUUGGAUAGAAGCUAUACCGUAAGGAGUAGUGGACUAAUGGGAAGUGAGAAUGCCGGUAUAAGUAAGCGCAAAGGCAGGUGAGAAUCCUGCCCGCCGAAAACCUAAGGAUUCCUGGGGAAGGCUCGUCCGCCCAGGGUAAGUCGGGCCCUAAGCCGAGGCUGAAAAGCGUAGGCGAUGGACAAUCGGUGGAGAAUCCGAUACCACCUUAAAGCCGCUAUUAGGAUGGGGUGACACAGGAGGGCAAGCCAAGCGCGCGGUUGGAAAAGCGCGUCCAAGCCCGUAGGGCGCAGGUCAGGCAAAACCGGCCUGCACAAAGCCUGAGAGGUAACGGGGAGCGAAAACAAGUAGUGAAGUGGCUGCACCCAAACUGUCAAGAAAAACCUCUAACGAGGCUAUAAGGUGCCCGUACCGCAAACCGACACAGGUAGGUGGGGUGAGAAUCCUAAGGCGCGCGAGAAAACCCUCGUUAAGGAACUCGGCAAAAUGACCCCGUAACUUCGGGAGAAGGGGUACCUCGCUAGUGUGAAGACAUUCACUGUCAGAGCAUGAAGAGGUCGCAGAGAAAAGGCCCAAGCGACUGUUUACCAAAAACACAGGUUCCUGCUAAAUCGCAAGAUGACGUAUAGGAGCUGACGCCUGCCCGGUGCUGGAAGGUUAAGGGGAGAGGUCAGUUUCGAGGUUCGAGGUUAGAGGUUCGAAAUUCGAAAAGACAAAGCCAAAAGAGACUUAAAUAAAAGGAAAUCGUGAAACGAUUUCUGGUCUUAAUCGAACAUCGAAUUUCCAACCUCGAACUUCGAGACGAAGCUUUAAACCGAAGCCCCAGUAAACGGCGGCCGUAACUAUAACGGUCCUAAGGUAGCGAAAUUCCUUGUCGGGUAAGUUCCGACCCGCACGAAAGGCGUAACGAUUUGGGCGCUGUCUCAACGAGGGACUCGGCGAACUUGUACUGCCGGUAAAGAUGCCGGCUACCUGCGACAGGACAGAAAGACCCCGUGGAGCUUUACUGCAGCUUGACAUUGGAUUUUGGUAUUGCAUGUACAGGAUAGGUGGGAGGCGUAGAAGCCAGGGCGCCAGUUUUGGCAGAGCCACCGUUGGGAUACCACCCUUGUGAUAUUGAAAUUCUAACACGAGCCUUUGAAUCAAGGUUAUGGACAGUGUCAGGUGGGCAGUUUGACUGGGGCGGUCGCCUCCCAAAAGGUAACGGAGGCGCCCAAAGGUUCCCUCAGCGCGGUUGGAAAUCGCGCGCACAGAGUGUAAAGGCAGAAGGGAGCUUGACAGCGAGACCAACAAGUCGAGCUGGGACGAAAGUCGGGCUUAGUGAUCCGGCGGCAUUCGCGUGGAAGAGCCGUCGCUCAACGGAUAAAAGCUACCCCGGGGAUAACAGGCUUAUCUCCCCCAAGAGUCCACAUCGACGGGGAGGUUUGGCACCUCGAUGUCGGCUCAUCGCAUCCUGGGGCUGUAGUAGGUCCCAAGGGUUGGGCUGUUCGCCCAUUAAAGCGGUACGUGAGCUGGGUUCAGAACGUCGUGAGACAGUUCGGUCCCUAUCCGUCGCAGGCGCAGGAAACUUGCGAGGAGCUGUCCCUAGUACGAGAGGACCGGGAUGGACGGAUCACUGGCGUACCAGUUAUCGCGCCAGCGGUAGCGCUGGGUACCCAAAUCCGGACGGGAUAAGCGCUGAAGGCAUCUAAGCGCGAAGCCCCCCUCUAGAUAAGGUUUCCCAUCCAGCACUCAACCCAGUGUUUGCAUUAUGCUUAGUGCAAGUCAUGCCUCGUAUGAGAGUAUGAUCUUGAAAAGAGUAUAUUGUGAAUGUCGGGUUGAGUGCUGGGGUAAGACCCCUGGUAGACUACCAGGUAGAUAGGCCGGGCGUGCAAGCACAGCAAUGUGUGCAGCGGACCGGUACUAAUAGGUCGAGGGCUUGACCUG
rfam:Desulfotomaculum gibsoniae DSM 7213, complete genome.